AGCGAACGCUGGCGGCAGGCCUAACACAUGCAAGUCGAACGAACCUUUCGGGGUUAGUGGCGGACGGGUGAGUAACACGUGGGAACGUGCCUUUAGGUUCGGAAUAACUCGGGGAAACUUGUGCUAAUACCGAAGGUGCCCUUCGGGGGAAAGAUUUAUCGCCUUUAGAGCGGCCCGCGUCUGAUUAGCUAGUUGGUUGAGGUAAUGGCUCACCAAGGCGACGAUCAGUAGCUGGUCUGAGAGGAUGAUCAGCCACAUUGGGACUGAGACACGGCCCAAACUCCUACGGGAGGCAGCAGUGGGGAAUCUUGCGCAAUGGGCGAAAGCCUGACGCAGCCAUGCCGCGUGAAUGAUGAAGGUCUUAGGAUUGUAAAAUUCUUUCACCGGGGACGAUAAUGACGGUACCCGGAGAAGAAGCCCCGGCUAACUUCGUG
rnacentral:rRNA from 1 species